rnacentral:rRNA from 1 species
CCUACGGGUGGCAGCAGUGGGGAAUAUUGCGCAAUGGGCGCAAGCCUGACGCAGCCAUGCCGCGUGAGUGAAGAAGGUCUUCGGAUUGUAAAGCUCUUUCAGCUGGGAAGAAGGUGCCCUGAUCAACUAAGCAGGCAAUUGACAUUACCGUCAAAGGACGCACCGGCUAACUCCGUGCCAGCAGCCGCGUUAAUACGGAGGGUGCGAGAGUUAAUCGGAAGUACUGGGCGUAAAGCGCACGUAGGCGGGUGGGUGAGUCAGGGGUGAAAUCCCAGGGCUGAACUUUGGAAUUGCCUUUGAUACUGGUCAACUAGAGUUGGUGAGAGGAUAGUGGAAUUCCAGGUGUAGGGGUGAAAUGCGUAGAUAUUGGGAGGAACACCAGUGGCGAAGGCGACUAUCUGGCAAAAAACUGACGCUGAGGCGCGAAAGCGUGGGGAGCAAACAGGAUUAGAUACCCUUGUAGUC